AGGCGGCGAGCGGAAUGCAGCGGCCCGAGGCCUGGCCACGUCCGCAGCCGGGGGAAGGGGCCGCGGCGGCCCAGGCUGGGGGCCCGGCGCCGCCCGCCCGAGCCGGGGAGCCCUCGGGGCUGCGGUUGCAGGAACCUUCACUCUACACCAUCAAGGCUGUUUUCAUCCUAGACAAUGACGGGCGCAGGCUGCUGGCCAAGUAUUAUGAUGACACAUUCCCCUCCACAAAGGAGCAGAUGGUCUUCGAGAAAAACGUCUUCAACAAGACCAGCCGGACUGAGAGUGAGAUUGCAUUUUUCGGGGGCAUGACCAUCGUCUACAAGAGCAGCAUUGACCUCUUCCUGUAUGUGGUGGGCUCAUCCUAUGAGAAUGAGCUGAUGCUCAUGUCUGUUCUCACCUGCCUGUUCGAGUCUCUGAACCACAUGUUAAGGAAGAACGUGGAAAAGCGCUGGUUGCUGGAGAACAUGGAUGGAGCCUUCUUGGUGCUGGAUGAGAUUGUGGAUGGCGGCGUGAUUCUGGAGAGUGACCCCCAGCAAGUGAUCCAGAAAGUCAAUUUUAGGGCAGAUGAUGGCGGCUUGACUGAGCAGAGUGUGGCCCAGGUCUCUCUGCCCAGACUAAUCCUCCUUGCAUGGAACUUCCUGCCCUGGCACUAACUCCUUCCUGCCAUGGUGGCCCUGCCGAGACGGGCCUGUGCCAUCCCAGGGGUGGUGCCUGCUUUCCUGCACUGCCCUCAGUGUUCACCUGCCUCACCCUCCCCUCUGACUCCCUGUGUCUCCUCAUACCCUGCUGGAACAACUGUAGCCACACAGCACUUUUCAGGGCAGAAAGAGGUUAGGGAGCAGUGAGCAGCAGACAAGAGCACAGGUGCUCAUGUUCUUCAGUCUGCCAAGGAACAAAUUAAAUGGUCGUUAUUGAAAUGAAGGCUGUGAAAUCAAGGCUCCCUGCUCCCCAGACCA